rnacentral:rRNA from 1 species
UACGGGGGGGGCAAGCGUUGUUCGGAAUUACUGGGCGUAAAGGGCUCGUAGGUGGCCAACUAAGUCAGACGUGAAAUCCCUCAGCUUAACUGGGGAACUGCGUCUGAUACUGGAUGGCUUGAGUUUGGGAGAGGGAUGCGGAAUUCCAGGUGUAGCGGUGAAAUGUGUAGAUAUCUGGAGGAACACCGGUGGCGAAGGCGGCAUCCUGGACCAAUACUGACACUGAGGAGCGAAAGCCAGGGGAGCAAACGGG